rnacentral:rRNA from 1 species
UACGUAGGCAGCAAGCGUUGUUCGGAGUUACUGGGCGUAAAGGGUGCGUAGGCGGCUAUUUAAGUUUGGUGUGAAAUCUCCCGGCUCAACCGGGAGGGUGCGCCGAAUACUGAGUGGCUAGAGUACGGGAGAGGAAAGUGGAAUUCCUGGUGUAGCGGUGAAAUGCGUAGAUAUCAGGAGGAACACCUGUGGCGAAGGCGGCCACCUGGUUGGAUACUGACGCUGAGGCACGAAAGCGUGGGGAGCAAACAGG